AAAGGCGGUGCAACCUACUGGGUAGACAAAGUGUCAAAGAUCAAUCUGGAAGGAUUUGAUCGGGUUUAUCCCUCUAAAUCUCAGCACGCCUGUAUUUAGCUCUGCCAUGAGGAGACGACCUGCUGAUCGUGUUUCAGGUCCAUGUGAGAUGCUGUUUUUUCACUGUAUCCCAACAUUACAUUUGUAAUCUGAAAAAAUAUAGUUUCUUGUGACUUUGAAUGUGAUAAAAAAACAAAAAGAACCUCAAUACAAGUAGCUUCUUCUUUCUGUAAUAGAAGCUGCAUGUUUUGGAUUGUGAGUCAGAGGACAUUUUAAUACUUAAUACUAAGAAAUGACUGCCUUAAUCAGGUUUCGGCUCUGAGCUGAAGAGCCAAGCGGCUGGACAUCUCUAGAUGUUCGAGCAUUGUUAUCGUCAUACCAUAAAGUAUAAGUGAACUCCCUCUUGUUCCAUCAACUACACAUGACAUGUCUAACAGCAUAAAAGGUGUGGAAUCAGGCGAGAUAAGUGCCUUUGGUUUUAUGAUUGGAAUUGGACUGCGAUGCCUUUGUAGAUUGAGAAAUGAAGGCAAUGUCAAAUAUCGCAUUUUUGCAUUCACUGUCAGCUUUAAGUACACCCCAUUUUCCAAGUAUUUCUUCCAAAUUAGAGUUAAUUACAUGUGAAUUUGUGUCUGAGCUUCACAGCAUGGGUUUGGCACCCUCACUAUGAGAGAGCUGCGGUCAAUAUAGGAGGGCCAGUGGUACAGUAAUUAAACUGAUAAACACCAGUCACAUACCUACAAGUGCGAAAUCAAACGCAACUGGACCUGUGAGUAAGGAAACAUCUUCAAACUGAACAAAUAGCAGGUCCAGCUGCCUUCGACUUCAUGUCUUAGAUAGUUCUUCUUACUUCUCUCUUGGACCUGGUGACUGAAUCCUCAUAGACCAGUAUUUUUGGUUUCAUUUCCAGUAUUCACGGAACAAGAGGUAAAAUGACAAGGGUGCCUCACCUGAUCAGUACCUGUUAUCAUUUUCAUCAUUCAAAUGAUAUCUCACGUGAGGAAAAUGAUUCAGAAAUCUACACCUGCGCUGGUGUAAAUGGUGACAUAAAGUUUUGUCUUAAUGAUUUGGCCUCCGUGUGUGGAAACUGUUGAUCUAAAGGGAGGAUCCCGGAUUAGCGUGUUUGGAAGCAGGACAAAGAGAGAGCGAGGCCAAGACACAACCACAGAGUGCUGAUGGGAAGUUAUGUAAGCAGACAUUCUUGUCUAAAUUCUUCAAAUUAUCUUACCAUCAAUUUUUUGAAACGCAAGAGACAUUUACAGACUUUGAUACUAACUCACACUUCUUUCGAUUAGAUAUCCGAUUUAUAUUUGAUUGUGUUGGUUGCUCGGUUCAUUCUUUUGUUCUUCAUUUCUUUCGUUCACGCAUUCAUUUCUUUCCCUUUUCUUUACUUACCUUGCAUUCUGUCUUGAAAAAAUGGGGAUUAGAGUUAUCUGGGUCCUUUUAGAAUGAAAACCUACAUUUAUUUUGCAACAGGAACAGAAUUAUUUAUUAUUUCAUAUGUUGGUUUGGAAUUGGGGUCAGUCCUAUGCUGCACAUUGAUCAGCUGAGGUUUUGAGGGCAGGCUUUUAGGGCAACUUGCGGCUAAGCCUCUUUAACAGUAUAUAGGCUGGAGAUUGGAAGGCGCUGACGUCUUUAACAACACAGAUCACAGCUCUGCACUAUGUAAUGCAAACUCAGUCUAUAGGUUGGGAACCACAGUGAACACCAGGCCUGUGUCAUCAAGGUCAUCACAUCACAAAUCUACUAUACUGGGCAGUGUGCUUACAAUGUUUAGACAUCUGAUUUGGGUCGCCAGUUUGGAGCAAAGGUGAAACACAAUGCAGACUUUUGAUACUGGGUCAAAUCAGUCAGGCCAGUUCUCUCAUCUCUUUCAUCUUGUGGUGUGCGUGCUGUAACGAUGGAAACUAUCCAGAAAUGCCGCUGACAUGAAUUCCUGUGUGUGUUCAGAGGAAACCAUGUUCUUUUUACAUCCAAGCUCUCUGGCUUGAGAACCACCAUAUACAGUGCAGGCAUACAGUAUAUAUGAUCUGUGGGAUGUAUGGAGGUUUGCUUCCUACCCUGCAAAAAGCUCAAAGAGACCAUGAGUGACUAUUCUUGGCGUUUUUUUAUAAAUCAAAAAUGGUCUAGACAGGACUGAACCAUAGUCUCUAGUGUCACUUUAGACUCAGAUGCUGAACUCACGCUUUGUGUCCAAGACAAAUUUAUAUGUUUAAAUUCUAAGCCAUCUUCCCAAAAAUAGGAAAAUGUGACCGUUAACAGUUUGAAGUGUUUUUUUAAAGAUAGAAUUAGGGUAUUAGGGGAAGAACCGCCAAACACACUAACAUUCACUGAGCUUCCAGUCAACUCUUUAGUGGGCUUUACCCUCUGUAUUCCCAGCAGCUUUGUGUGGCUAAAUAAUGACUCCCAUCUACAGCGUGGUCUAUGUUGGAGGUUACAGUAGGAUAGAGGAAAUGGUCUUAAUAAACAGCCACCUCUCAAGCCGUCAAAGGGUGAGUGUGCAUGAACCACACGCAUGUCAUCAUAACAUGUCUGCCCCAUAUGAAUAGAGUCAUAGAGCUCAGACUGUCUGGUUUGCUGGUGACUAGGAGGUCAGAUGGUAGUGGACCAGUUGUUCAGGGAGCAAUGCACAGCAGGUCACAUACAGCCUAACACAGGACAGGUCCCAAUCCCAAACGCUUGCUGGCAAUAUUGACCUCAGACCUCAGUACUGCACACUCAUACAACUGAUGGUCCAUUACUUUAAACAAUUUCAACUGUGUUUAUCCAUUACCUUUAGCUACUUCGACUUCUCUGCUAGUUCACUAAUUUUCACACACUCUCAAUCCCAAUUGGUUCAAAUUAGCUACUUACACAAUCUUUCCACGCGUACCCCCCUGGUUGGGAAUCACUGUGCUAAGUGACACACUUCACAAGCAAAUCAGCACAAGUGCAUAGCUACUUGUGGUCACAUGCAUACACACUACAUGAACAGUUAUAUGUGUCUUUAAUGGUCAAAGUGCUCUCUGUUUGCUCUGUGCUGUUGUCUGUAACUGAGUUUUGUCGGGGGUUCACCCAAAAACGGAUUUUGUAUGAAUUUCAGUUCAGGCUGAUCCCUCAUCAUAAGGAGCUCCUGUUUCACGUGAGACACCACUGUGACUCCAUCCUGUUGAAUCUCUUCUUAAAACCUACUCUCGUUGGCUGCAGGAGCGAGAGAUUACAGGAGAUGGAGGGAAGAAGGUGGGAAGGAGAGCCGCAGCGCAGCCUGAGGUACACCUGCUCAACCACUGAGGGAAAUACGAGCCUGCGCAGACAGGUUAGAAUAUGUGUUUUUUGCAGACAUUAUUUGGAUAGUUUACAUAUGUGUAGUCAUGCCCUCAUUAUGAAAUAACUUCUGCUUUAAUUCUCUCUGUUUCCUCCCACCAAAUGCUCAUUCUUUCCUUCCAUUUCUCCUUCUUCCAUCCACAUCCUGCACCUCUUCCACAGGCACAUCUCUUGCUAUCAUAAUGUUCAGCCUCAAGAGAGUCUGAUCCAGUAAUUUUCCAGUUCCAAGGUUGUAUAUACCUGCUCUACUUGAAUUGGCCUUUUAUCACCUACUGCCUAUGACCUUUCUCUUCAGUUCAAACCCAGAUGUACUGUACAGGUGCACUCUGUUAGUCACAUUUUGUUAGUCAUCGCCAGGUCCGCCAGGCGUAUCCCAUCCUGUUUUUCACUUCUCUCUGUUUUUCAUUUAUCUGGGACCCUGGCACACUUCACUGCUUACAAAAACAUGAUUCUGGCCCUCUGUAGUGCAUUCAUAACAUUUCCCAAGAACUAGAUAUUUUGUUGCACCGCAUAGACAUGAGAAGGCUGUGAAGGUGACUGGUGUGAACAGGACAUUAACUGCAUAAGAGGGAGUGAUAAAAGGGAAAGGUACUGAAGUAGCAUAGAGGUAAAGAGAGGGGGAAGCCCACGAGGAGAACAGCAGAAAUAUGACUUUAGAGAUGGGCAGAGAGAGGGCAUAAAUAAGAGAGAAC